rnacentral:misc_RNA from 1 species
ACAGCCGCGCGAGCAGCC